rnacentral:rRNA from 1 species
CGCAAAAUUAGGCAAUUGGCUCUCGAGUGCAAAGGUGGGAAAAAGUUUGACUACAAGACAAGCCUAUCGAGCUGGAGUGAAAGUCGACCUUAGU